CCUACGGGGGGCAGCAGUGGGGGAUAUUGCACAAUGGGGGGAACCCUGAUGCAGCGACGCCGCGUGGGUGAAGAAGCGCCUCGGCGCGUAAAGCCCUGUCAGCAGGGAAGAAAAUGACGGUACCUGAAGAAGAAGCACCGGCUAACUCCGUGCCAGCAGCCGCGGUAAUACGGAGGAUGCGAGCGUUAUCCGGAUUUAUUGGGUUUAAAGGGUGCGUAGGCGGAUUUUUAAGUCAGCGGUAAAAUGUCCGGGCUCAACCCGGGCCGGCCGUUGAAACUGGGGAUCUUGAGUGGGCGAGAAGUAUGCGGAAUGCGUGGUGUAGCGGUGAAAUGCAUAGAUAUCACGCAGAACUCCGAUUGCGAAGGCAGCAUACCGGCGCCCGACUGACGCUGAGGCACGAAAGCGUGGGGAUCGAACAGGAUUAGAUACCCUAGUAGUC
rnacentral:rRNA from 1 species